UAAUAGAAUGGAGUAGGUUGAAUACCAUCCAACUUUAAGGUCCACACGUCAGAAAUAUUGUCAGUGGUUGUGUUGAGUUUUUUGUGUGUUUUUGUUUUUCUGAUUUGGAGUUAAUGGCAGCCCGUUACCUUUGUUAUAUCUGUUUAUUCAAAACUUGUUUAAUUGAAUCUAGGCAAUUUAAGGUUUGAAAUAUGUAUGGACAUUUGUCUUUUUGUUAUCACUUGUGUGCAUAUUAUGAAGUUAUUUCCAGACCAUCAUAAUUUGAAUUCAGGAGGACCAUCGAUUAUUGAUGACCUCAAUAUCAAUGAUUUGUUUUUCCAGAUGUAUUUCAUGACCUCCAUACUUUGAUUGAAAUUUAUAUCCAAAAGAUUUCCUGAACAUGCAGAAAUCGAAAUGUGACGGUCCUGAUAUAUUUGUAAAUAUCCUGAAUUCGCCAUGAAAUAUUUCUCCUCUUCUCAGUCAAAGUAUGCACGUUUAAAACGUUUUGGUAACUACUAGUAUACAAUUUAUUGUGUUUUUUGGUGGCGAAACAGGACGGUAAAGAGAACAAUAAUAAAAUGCCUUAAUUUGGUUGGUUAACACUUGAUUAUUUCCUCCGUGAUAUGCCAAACAUUAUGAUGUAACUAGAUUUUCAUCUUUUAAUCGUAACAUAAUUUUCAUUAUUUGUGUUUACUUCGGAAGUAAAUGUGUUUUAUAUCUUUU
rnacentral:lncRNA from 1 species